AUUGAACGCUGGCGGAAUGCUUUACACAUGCAAGUCGAACGGUAGAGGGGGCAACCCCUCGAGAGUGGCGAACGGGUGAGUAAUAUAUCGGAACGUGCCCAGUCGAGGGGGAUAACGUAGCGAAAGUUACGCUAAUACCGCAUACGAUCUAAGGAUGAAAGCGGGGGAUCGCAAGACCUCGCGCGAUUGGAGCGGCCGAUAUCAGAUUAGGUAGUUGGUGGGGUAAAGGCUCACCAAGCCAACGAUCUGUAGCUGGUCUGAGAGGACGACCAGCCACACUGGAACUGAGACACGGUCCAGACUCCUACGGGAGGCAGCAGUGGGGAAUUUUGGACAAUGGACGCAAGUCUGAUCCAGCCAUACCGCGUGCAGGAUGAAGGCCCUCGGGUUGUAAACUACUUUUGUACGGAACGAAAAGGUCUCUCUUAAUACGGGGGGCUCAUGACGGUACCGUAAGAAUAAGCACCGGCUAACUACGUGCCAGCCGCCGCGGUAA
rnacentral:rRNA from 1 species